rnacentral:rRNA from 1 species
GACAGAGGGUGCAAGCGUUGUUCGGAAUUACUGGGCGUAAAGGGCGCGUAGGCUGAUAUAUAAGUUGGAUGUGAAAUGCCAGGAGUAAAACUUGGAACUGCAUUCAAGACUGUAUAUCUGGAGUAUCGGAGAGGGAAGCGGAAUUCCUGGUGUAGAGGUGAAAUUCGUAGAUAUCAGGAGGAACACCGGAGGCGAAGGCGGCUUCCUGGCCGGAGACUGACGCUGAGGCGCGAAAGCGUGGGUAGCAAAC